rnacentral:rRNA from 1 species
CAGCAGCAGCCACGGUAAUACGUAGGUGGCAAGCGUUGUCCGGAAUUAUUGGGCGUAAAGGGCUCGCAGGCGGUUUCUUAAGUCUGAUGUGAAAGCCCCCGGCUCAACCGUGGAGGGUCAUUGGAAACUGGGAAACUUGAGUGCAGAAGAGGAGAGUGGAAUUCCACGUGUAGCUGUGAAAUGCGUAGAGAUGUGGAGGAACACCAGUGGCGAAGGCGACUCUCUGGUCUGUAACUGACGCUGAGGAGCGAAAGCGUGGGGAGCGAACAGGAUUAGAUACCCCCGUAGUCCCUGUCUCUUAUAC